UGGGGAAUAUUGGACAAUGGGCCACGAGCCUGAUCCAGCAAUUCUGUGUGUGUGAUGAAGGUCUUAGGAUUGUAAAACACUUUCAGUGGGGAAGAAGCAAGUGACAGUACCCACAGAAGAAGCCACGGCUAACUACGUGCCAGCAGCCGCGGUAAGACGUAGGUGGCAAGCGUUAUCCGGAAUCACUGGGCGUAAAGGGCAUCUAGGCGGUUUAUUAAGUCAGAAGUGAAAUACCGGGGCUCAACCCCGGGACUGCUUUUGAAACUGGUAGACUAGAAUACGGGAUAGGAGGGCGGAACUACAAGUGUAGAGGUGAAAUUCGUAGAUAUUUGUAGGAAUGCCGAUGACGAAGGUAGCUCUCUGGACCGACAUUGACGCUGAAGUGCGAAAGCUAGGGUAGCAAACA
rnacentral:rRNA from 1 species